AAUGAACGCUGGCGGCAUGCCUAACACAUGCAAGUCGAACGAAACCUUCGGGUCUAGUCGCGCACGGGUGCGUAACCCGUGGGAACCUGCCCAUAGGUUUGGCAUAACUCCCCGAAAGGGGUGCUAAUACCGGAUCAUGUCUUCGGACCAAAGAUUUAUCGCCCUUGGAUGGUCGCGCGUUGGAUUAGCUAGUGGGUAGGGUAAAAGCCUACCACGGCGAGGAUCCGUAGCUGGUUAGCGAGGAAGAUCAGCCACACUGGGAUUGAGACGCGGCCCAGAAUCUUACGGGAGGCAGGAAUGGGGAAUAGUGGACAGUGGGCGGAAGCAUGAAGGAGCUAGGCCGGGUGAGUGAUGAAGGCCGUGGGGUUGUAAAGUGCUUUUACCCGGGAUGAUAAUGACAGUACCGAGAGAAUAAGCGCCGGCUAACUCCGUG
rnacentral:rRNA from 1 species